AUUAAUCAGAGUUUCUGAUUGCAUGCGGUUACAAAAUCACGUAUAAUGAACUUGUUUAGAAGACCAAUACGGUUGGCUAGAUAAUAUAGUGUAUUUUAAAGGAGUAACAUCAUGGAAAAAGGAACAGUAAAAUGGUUUAACAAUGAAAAAGGUUUUGGUUUUAUCUCAGUUGAAGGCCAAGACGAUAUCUUCGUACAUUUCAGUGCUAUCCAAGACGAAGGCUUCAAAUCAUUAGAAGAAGGCCAAGCCGUAGAAUUCGACAUCGUUGAAGGUACACGUGGCGCACAAGCUGCUAACGUUAAAAAACUAUAAUCUUAAAAAAGAUUAAUGAUACUUUGAAGAAGGUGCCGGACUGAUUAGUCUGUGGACCUUCU
rnacentral:misc_RNA from 1 species